GGGUCAGUAGGUUGGUCGUGCCACCGGUACGUACUGGUCUCACUGAUUCCUCCUUCCUGAAGAACCGUAAUGCCAUUAAUUUGGUGUUGCGGGGAAACAGGACUGUUACUUUGAAAAAAUUGGAGUGUUUAAAGCAAGCUGACGCUUGAAUACAUUAGCAUGGAAUAAUGAAAUAGGACGAUCGAUCCUAUUUUGUUGGUUUCUAGGAUUGACGUA
rnacentral:rRNA from 1 species